rnacentral:rRNA from 1 species
UCAGCCAAUACGAGCCACGGCAUACAGCUCAGUAACACGUGGCUAAUCUGCCCUUAGGACGAGAACAACCCCGGGAAACUGGGGCUAACUCUCGAUAGGCGAAGAACUCUGGAAUGAGUCUUCACCUAAAUAGUUCAGCGUUACGCUCGUUGGACCGCCUAAGGAUGAGGCCGCGACCGAUCAGGUUGUUGGUGAGGUAAUGGCUCACCAAGCCUUUUACCGGUGCGGGCCGUGAGAGCGGGAGCCCGGAGAUGGGCACUGAGACAAGGGCCCAGGCCCUACGGGGCGCAGCAGUCGCGAAAACUUUGCAACACACGAAAGUGUGACAGGGCUAUCCCGAGUGCCAUCCGCUGAGGAAGGCUUUUACCCAGUCUAGAAAGCUGGGGGAAUAAGGAGAGGGCAAGUCUGGUGUCAGCCGCCGCGGUAAUACCAGCUCUCCGAGUGGUGUGGAUGUUUAUUGGGCCUAAAGCAUCCGUAGCUGGCUAAGUUAGUCCCUUGUUAAAUCCACCGAAUUAAUCGUUGGAUUGCGGGGGAUACUGCUUGGCUAGGGGACGAGAGAGGCAGACGGUAUUUCCGGGGUAGGGGUGAAAUCCUAUAAUCCCGGGAAGACCACCAGUGGCGAAGGCUGUCUGCUAGAACGCGCCCGACGGUGAGGGAUGAAAGCUGGGGGAGCGAACCGGAUUAGAUACCCGGGUAGUCCCAGCUGUAAACGAUGCAGGCUAGGUGUUUGGACGGCCACGUGCCGUUCUAGUGCUGCAGGGAAGCUGUUAAGCCUGCCGCCUGGGGAGUACGAUCGCAAGAUUGAAACUUAA